AAGCCCCAGUAAACGGCGGCCGUAACUAUAACGGUCCUAAGGUAGCGAAAUUCCUUGUCGGGUAAGUUCCGACCCGCACGAAAGGCGUAACGAUUUGGGCACUGUCUCAACGAGAGACUCGGUGAAAUCAUAGUACCUGUGAAGAUGCAGGUUACCCGCGACAGGACGGAAAGACCCCGUGGAGCUUUACUGUAGCCUGAUAUUGAAAUUCGGCACAGCUUGUACAGGAUAGGUAGGAGCCUUUGAAACGUGAGCGCUAGCUUACGUGGAGGCGCUGGUGGGAUACUACCCUAGCUGUGUUGGCUUUCUAACCCGCACCACUUAUCGUGGUGGGAGACAGUGUCAGGCGGGCAGUUUGACUGGGGCGGUCGCCUCCUAAAAGGUAACGGAGGCGCUCAAAGGUUCCCUCAGAAUGGUUGGAAAUCAUUCAUAGAGUGUAAAGGCAUAAGGGAGCUUGACUGCGAGACCUACAAGUCGAGCAGGGUCGAAAGACGGACUUAGUGAUCCGGUGGUUCCGCAUGGAAGGGCCAUCGCUCAACGGAUAAAAGCUACCCCGGGGAUAACAGGCUUAUCUCCCCCAAGAGUUCACAUCGACGGGGAGGUUUGGCACCUCGAUGUCGGCUCAUCGCAUCCUGGGGCUGUAGUCGGUCCCAAGGGUUGGGCUGUUCGCCCAU
rnacentral:rRNA from 1 species